rnacentral:rRNA from 1 species
AAUUAAACGACUCUCGGCAACGGAUAUCUCGGCUCUCGCAUCGAUGAAGAACGUAGCGAAAUGCGAUACUUGGUGUGAAUUGCAGAAUCCCGUGAACCAUCGAGUCUUUGAACGCAAGUUGCGCCCGAAGCCUUCGGGCCAAGGGCACGUCUGCCUGGGCGUCA